rnacentral:misc_RNA from 1 species
AAGUCGUAACAAGGUAUCCGUAGGUGAACCUGCGGAUGGAUCAUUACCAAUUUUUAUAUAUUAGUGUUGUAUCUGUGACUACUCUGUUGCAGGUAUCAACUACUACUAUUAUGUAAACGUUGAACUAGAUCAAUUGGUGUGGAUUGCUUGGGAAUGGACGAAGCGACAAGCCUCUUCCGGACAGGCAAACCCCACACUGAUAACCCUUUUCAAUAUAUACUAUACUUACUAGUACAUACUACAAACAAACAAACAAAAAGCUAUAAUAGGACUUAUAAACAGGCUGAGUGGGUAAAAUCCUCGGCUUAUCAAUAUAACUAUUACAACUUUCAGCAAUGGAUCUCUAGGCUCUC